rnacentral:tRNA from 1 species
GUUAAGUUAGUUUAACUAAAAAUAUCAGCCUGUGGAUUUGAUGAUGAGAGGCUUUCUCACUUAACC